AUUGAACGCUGGCGGCAUGCCUUACACAUGCAAGUCGAACGGUAACAGGUUAAGCUGACGAGUGGCGAACGGGUGAGUAAUGUAUCGGAACGUGCCCAGUCGGGGGGGAUAACUGCUCGAAAGAGCAGCUAAUACCGCAUACGACCUGAGGGUGAAAGCGGGGGAUCGCAAGACCUCGCGCGAUUGGAGCGGCCGAUAUCAGAUUAGGUAGUUGGUGAGGUAAAGGCUCACCAAGCCGACGAUCUGUAGCUGGUCUGAGAGGACGACCAGCCACACUGGGACUGAGACACGGCCCAGACUCCUACGGGAGGCAGCAGUGGGGAAUUUUGGACAAUGGGCGCAAGCCUGAUCCAGCCAUGCCGCGUGCGGGAAGAAGGCCUUCGGGUUGUAAACCGCUUUUGUCAGGGAAGAAAAGGUUCUGGCUAAUACCUGGGACUCAUGACGGUACCUGAAGAAUAAGCACCGGCUAACUACGUG
rnacentral:rRNA from 1 species